GAUGAACGCUGGCGGCGUGCUUAACACAUGCAAGUCGAACGAAGCACCUUGAUUUGAUUCUUCGGAUGAAGAUCUUGGUGACUGAGUGGCGGACGGGUGAGUAACGCGUGGGUAACCUGCCUCAUACAGGGGGAUAGCAGUUAGAAAUGACUGCUAAUACCGCAUAAGACCACAGCACCGCAUGGUGCAGGGGUAAAAACUCCGGUGGUAUGAGAUGGACCCGCGUCUGAUUAGGUAGUUGGUGGGGUAACGGCCUACCAAGCCGACGAUCAGUAGCCGACCUGAGAGGGUGACCGGCCACAUUGGGACUGAGACACGGCCCAAACUCCUACGGGAGGCAGCAGUGGGGAAUAUUGCACAAUGGGGGAAAACCUGAUGCAGCGACGCCGCGUGAGCGAUGAAGUAUUUCGGUAUGUAAAGCUCUAUCAGCAGGGAAGAAAAUGACGGUACCUGACGAAGAAGCACCGGCUAAAUACGUG
rnacentral:rRNA from 1 species